CUAUUGAAUUUGCACAGUAUUGUUCUAGAGAAUUUUUAAGAAAACAUGAGAAAAUUUUAAGUGUGUUUUAAAAUUUCAGAUUACAUAGACUGUAUUUUACCUAUGAUAUGGGCAGUUCACAUGAGCACUAUCUUUUGAAUAUCAGCCAUUUUCGGGUUUCCUGGUGUCUGAGCUAGUUAGCAAUCAGCCACUUUUGCUAUCAUUCCUAGGGCAUCUAUGACAACAGGUAUUAUUUUAGUCUUGAGGUUUCACAUUUGCCCAAUUUCUAUUUCAUGAUGUUUAUAUUUGCUCAGUUUUUGGUAGAUC